AGAUUGAACGCUGGCGGCAUGCUUUACACAUGCAAGUCGAGCGGCAGCGCGGGGGGUAACUCCUGGCGGCGAGCGGCGGACGGGUGAGUAAUACAUCGGAACGUAUCCCGUAGUGGGGGACAACCCAGCGAAAGCUGGGCUAAUACCGCAUAUGCU
rnacentral:rRNA from 1 species